UAACAGCUCACUAGUCGAGCGAUCCGGCAUGGAUAAUAAUCGGGCAUAAACAUACUACCGAAGCUAUGGACUUGUAAAAGUGGUAGGGGAGCAUUGUAGUGUCGUCGAAGGUGUACUGUGAGGUAUGCUGGAGAAGCUACAAAAGAAAAUGUAGGCAUAAGUAACGAUAAUGCGGGCGAGAAACCCGCACACCGAAAGACUAAGGUUUCCUCAGCUAUGCUAAUCAGCUGAGGGUUAGUCGGGACCUAACGCG
rnacentral:rRNA from 1 species